rnacentral:rRNA from 1 species
CAUCUAAGCACGAAACUUGCCCUGAGAUGAGUUCUCCCUGACUCCUUGAGAGUCCUGAAGGAACGUUGAAGACGACGACGUUGAUAGGCCGGGUGUGUAAGCGCAGCGAUGCGUUGAGCUAACCGGUACUAAUGAACCGUGAGGCUUAACCUU